AAUUGGGGUUCGAUUCCGGAGAGGGUGCCUGAGAAACGGCAACCAUGACUACGGUCAGCAGCAGGCGCGCAAAUUGCCCAAUGCCAACACUGGCGAGGCAGCGACGAAAAAUAACAACUUUGUGGUGCACGUGCACUUCAGAGAUUGCAAUGGGCUGUAUCUACAAACACUGACGAGGAUCCAUUGGAGGGCGAGUCUGGUGCCAGCAGCCGCGGUAAUUCCAGCUCCAAGAGCGUAUAUAAACGUUGUUGCGUUUAAAAAGCCCGUAGUUGGAUUUGAGGGCAUCGCCUGUGGGGGUUGCCCCUGGGUCUCCCGGGGUGUUCAACGUCCACACCGUGGCGGUGUUCUGUCUUUUGCGGGAACGGCGACCUCGUCAUCGGGUUUCGGCCCGCUGGCGACUCCGGAGUCACCACGCUCCACAUGGUUCGCCCGCAGCUGUCACUGUGAGUAAAUCAGAGUGUUCAAGGCAACUCUAUGUUGAGUUGAAUGUUAAAGCAUGGAAUGACAAGGGAUCGACCGCUUGAGGCCUUCUUUGUUGGUUUUUAACCUCCAGUGAGGUAAAUCUGUGGAAGAGAUGUUCAUUUCAAGCCUCGUGCUUGGGUGGGACUCUUCCACUCACGGGAUCAAAAGGAGCACAGGGGGCCGUGAGUACCGGAGGGUGAGUGGUGAAAUACUUAGACCCCUCCGAGACUGACAUCAGCGAAAGCACUCGGCUAUUGUGCUUUCAUUAAUCAAGGACGAGAGAUAGGGGAUCGAAGAGGAUUAGACACCCUCGUAGUCCUUUCCUUAAAUGCUGCAGACUUGGGAUCGGUCAGUGCUCUCUUUCUUGACCUGAUCGGCACCUUCCCUUUCUACCGAGAAAUCAAAGUUUUUGUGUUCCGGGGGGAGUACAUUCGCAAAGCUGAAACUUAAAGGAAUUGACGGAGAACCACCACCAGUCGUGGAUUGUGUGGCUUAAUUCGACACAACGCGGGAAAUUUUACCAGCACAGGACACGGUCAGGAUUGCCAGCUUAACGCGUUUGCUUGAUUCCGUGAAGGGUAGUGCAUGGCCGCUUCUGGUUGGUGAAUGUGAUUUGUCUGCUUAAUUGCGAUAACGAACGAGAUCUCUGCCAAUUACUAGAGACCGCUUUCGCUUUUAAGUGAUCGCGUGGUUGGAGUCUCGCGACUUCUAAUCACGCGGUGCUGAGAAGGCGGACAUUUACUUAUUGGGAUCAUGCGGGACAAAAACGCAUUGAAACGAGAGCCCAAAGCAGGUCUGUGAUGCUCCUAGAUGCGCUGGGCUGCACGCGCAAUACACUGACUCCGACAGCGAGCUUCUUGUCCGCAACCUGGUCCGAAGGUUCUGGGGAAACUUUGAGCCGGAGUCGUGCUGGGGAUUGAUGCUUGAAAUUAUUCUCCAUGAACGAGGAAUGUCUUGUAGGCGCGUUUCAUCAGAACGCACCGAAUACGUCCCUGGUUCUUGUACACACCGCCCGUCGUUGCCUGUAAUGGGUUGGAAGUAGAGCCCUUUGGAGAUUGAGCGGUUUACUCUCGGGUUGCCGCGCGGUCGAAAUUG
rnacentral:rRNA from 1 species